rnacentral:rRNA from 1 species
UACGAAGGGGGCUAGCGUUGCUCGGAAUCACUGGGCGUAAAGCGCACGUAGGCGGCUUCUUAAGUCAGGGGUGAAAUCCUGGAGCUCAACUCCAGAACUGCCUUUGAUACUGAGGAGCUUGAGUCCGGGAGAGGUGAGUGGAACUGCGAGUGUAGAGGUGAAAUUCGUAGAUAUUCGCAAGAACACCAGUGGCGAAGGCGGCUCACUGGCCCGGUACUGACGCUGACGGUGCGAAAGCGUGGGGAGCAAACAGG